rnacentral:rRNA from 1 species
GAUCCUGGCUCAGGAUGAACGCUAGCUACAGGCUUAACACAUGCAAGUCGAGGGGAAACGGACAUCGAAAGCUUGCUUUUGUAUGGGCGGUCGACCGGCGCACUGGUGAGUAACGCGUAUCCAACCUGCCCACCACUUGGGGGAUAACCUUGCGAAAGUAAGACUAAUACCCAAUGAUAUCUCUAGAAGACAUCUGAAAGGGAUUAAAGAUUUAUCGGUGAUGGAUGGGGGAUGCGU